UACGUAGGGACCAAGCGUUGUUCGGAAUUACUGGGCGUAAAGGGCGCGUAGGCGGCCUUCUAAGUCAGACGUGAAAUCCCCGGGCUCAACCCGGGAACUGCGUCUGAUACUGGAAGGCUUGAAUCCGGGAGAGGGAUGUGGAAUUCCAGGUGUAGCGGUGAAAUGCGUAGAUAUCUGGAGGAACACCGGUGGCGAAGGCGGCAUCCUGGACCGGUAUUGACGCUGAGGCGCGAAAGCCAGGGGAGCAAAGCGGG
rnacentral:rRNA from 1 species